UACUGUGUUUUGCAGGUAUUGUGCUUCUUACAAACUGAAGGUUCAAGACUUCAGUGGAGACCGCAGAUGUGGUGGAAAUACCAAGAGAACUGGAAGUGGAGCCUGAAGCUGGGACUGAAUUUCUGCCAUCUCAUGAUAAAACUAACAGAUGAGGAAUGGUUUCUGAUGGAUGAGCAAUGAAAAUGGGUUUUUGAGAUGAAAUCUCCUGCAGUGAAGAUUGUUGAAAUGACAAGGGAUUUCGAAUAUUCCAUAAACUCAGCUGGGAGAGCAGCAGCAGGGUUUGAGAGGACAGACUCCAAUUCUGAGAGAUGUUCUACUUGCAUUGUGCCUGUUGUUUGCUCCCCUCUAACACCAGAGAAGUCCCAACAAAUCGAUCGAUGAGAAAGAGAUGACUGGACUUAACGGCAGGCGGGACGUCAGGCCACAUUAAAUACAGUAACUCUGCAUGAAGUACUGCAUAGGUAUUCUCUCAUGACAGCAGCAGAUGUGGAUUUUUCACACACGUGACUGUCAUCUAUUGAGUGUACGAAGCGUGAAAAGGCUCCAUUGAAAGAGGAAGCAGCUCCAUUGAAAGGGGCACCCUCCUACACUAUUGGUAGGAAUGCAAGCUGGUGCAGCCACUCUGGAAAAACAGUAUGAAGAUUCCUCAAGAAGUUGAAAAUAGGGGCACCUGGGUGGCUCAGUGGGUUAAAGCCUCUGCCUUCGGCUCGGGUCAUGAUCUCAGGGUCCUGGGAUCGAACCCCGAAUAGGGCUCUCUGCUCAGCGGGGAGCCUGCUUCCUCCUCUUUCUCUCUGCCUGCCUCUCUGCCUACUUGUGACCUCUGUCUGUCAAAUAAAUA